GGGUGAGAAAGAAGGCUUCAAAAGGGCGGGAAACUGCGGAGAGGCAGUGGGCAACAUUUCUGCCCUCAGACCCGCCUCAGGACCAGCACCCAGGUGAUUGUUGAAACGGAAUGGAGAACUAUUGUGGCAGCAUUGAGAACAACUUAAGGGAGCACAGAAACCUGAGGGAAGAGGAGGCCCUUUGCUGAUAUACGGCUGUUGACUGAACAGGGUAAAGUAGCCUUGGACUCCACUGGAAAGGCCUUGAAGGAAAUACCUUUCCAGCCAGCAGCACCACUCUUACCUGCUGUGUUGGACCCAGACCAGUGCCUCACAUCACAAAGUGCUUCUGGAGACAGACAGGAUGUGGGCUUGCACAGAUUCAGAAUAUUUUGACCAAUUGAAUCCACUUUGGCUUUAGAUAAAGAGAAUUACAUGUGACACAGUGAGAUACAGAUUUCAACACUGUUUGGCUCUGCACUGGGAUCUCCAGGAAACCUGGGGUGUAAGUGAAUUCUAGAAUUUGGCUGUUUAGCAAAUGUCAGUUUUAAGCAAACCCUUCAAUGAGUCAGUAGUAACCCUCCUAAUAAUGUCCCAGCCAUUAUCUAAGCAGGGAGUUCUGAUCUGUUGUCUUAAUUACUGGCCUAAAUUAAUCCACAUAUUUUGUGAAAAGAAGUGCUGAGGAUGGAGACCAUCAUAGGAUAUUUGUGCAGUUAUAUCCUCCAGUGCUGUGUUUUCUACAGCUCAUGUUUUUACUUUAUCUCUGCUCCCUUAAAUGAGCCAUUAAA